AGUGAACGCUGGCGGUAGGCCUAACACAUGCAAGUCUAACGGCAGCACAGUAAGAGCUUGCUCUUACGGGUGGCGAGUGGCGGACGAGUGAGGAAUACAUCGGAAUCUACUUUUUCGUGGGGGAUAACGUAGGGAAACUUACGCUAAUACCGCAUACGACCUACUGGUGAAAGCAGGGGAUCUUCGGACCUUGCGCGAUUGAAUGAGCCGAUGUCGGAUUAGCUAGUUGGCGGGGUAAAGGCCCACCAAGGCGACGAUCCGUAGCUGGUCUGAGAGGAUGAUCAGCCACACUGGAACUGAGACACGGUCCAGACUCCUACGGGAGGCAGCAGUGGGGAAUAUUGGACAAUGGGCGCAAGCCUGAUCCAGCCAUACCGCGUGGGUGAAGAAGGCCUUCGGGUUGUAAAGCCCUUUUGUUGGGAAAGAAAAGCAGCAGGUUAAUACCCCGCUGUUCUGACGGUACCCAAAGAAUAAGCACCGGCUAACUUCGUG
rnacentral:rRNA from 1 species